AUUUAUAUAGUUUAAUUUAAUAACACCUUAUUUUCAAUAAGGAAAUAAGAUCUACAUCUUUAUAAAUA
rnacentral:tRNA from 1 species